GUGUAUCCUUCAAAAUAUGUUUUCUCAAUUUAUUCAACUGGUUUCCUCGAUUUAUUUUGAAUGAUGAUAACCUUUUAAUAUUGUUCCACUGCCUGAUUAGAGGACUGCCUUCUUUACACUGAUAACCUUUUUUGCCUUCUUUACACUGAUAACCUUUUAGAUCCAUACAUUAGUAUAAUUGCAAAUGCAAAUUUUAUUUUGCUAAUACUGUGGCGCUUGCAUUUUUAUGAAGUCCUAUGUUGUUCCUUGAAAAUUACUUGCUAAACCAGACACAUUCCAUUCAUUGGUACUUCACCUCAGCAC
rnacentral:lncRNA from 1 species